CAGCCUGUACUUCCCGGUCUGGGCAGGCAGACGCUGGAACCGCACCAGCAGCUCUCCUCUGUAACGCGGCACGGAAGUAUUUAUUUCAAGGGUGGCUCAGAGAAGUGAUUCAAGGUGCAUGGUGAACAGACAUCUUUUUCCAGUUAAGCCAGUUACUCCUCUGAUACUUGAGGAUUAUGUGAAUCUAACAACAGACAAAAAUCUCUGCCUCAUGGGGCUUAUAUUCUUCGGGAAGAGACAAGCACUAAACAAAUAAGGAAAUAUAUAUACACUCUGCCAGAUAGCCAUAAGACGGAUGGAGAAAGUUGAAGCAGGGAAGGGAGAUGGAAGUACCUGAGGGUGGACUACGCAGAUUUGAAAUAGGGAAGCCAGGGAAGACCUCACUGAGAUGGCCACAUUUGAGAAAGGACCUGAAGAAGGUGAGGCAGUGAGCUGUGGAGAUGGGUAACUGGGGAGGGGGAAGAACUUUAGCUAGAGAGAAAAGCCGCCACAAAGGCCCACUGAAGGCAGGAUAUGCCUGCUGUGUCGAGACCAGCAGGAGGCCGUGUGCCUGGUACUUAAUAUACCAGAAGGAGUGGAGCAGGCAGGGGUACCAGUUCCAGAAGGACUUGCUGGCAGGUAUUAAGAUGGGCUUUUUCUCUGAGGUAGGAAGCUCCAGGAAGGAUUUGAUCACAGGAGGGACAGAAUCUGAAUUGUAUUUUAGAAGGAUCACUUUGACUGCUGUACAGAGAGUGGGUGGUGAGGUGGGAGGCAGAAGCCAGAAAGCCAGUUAGGAGGCCGUUAAGUAAUCCAGGCAAGAGGUGGUGUUGGCUGGGACCAGGGUCAUAGCAGUAGAGGUGGUGAAAAGUAAUUAGAUUCUGUAUAUUUAUUAAAGGCAAAGCCAGCAAGAUUCCUUGACUCUAACUUGAAGGUUGGAGUUUUCAUUUACUGAGAUGAGAGAGACCAUGGGGGGAAGGUAA
rnacentral:lncRNA from 1 species